AGUGAACGCUGGCGGUAGGCCUAACACACGCAAGUCGAACGGCAGCACAGUAAGAGCUUGCUCUUACGGGUGGCGAGUGGCGGACGGGUGAGGAAUACAUCGGAAUCUACUUUUUCGUGGGGGAUAACGUAGGGAAACUUACGCUAAUACCGCAUACGACCUACGGGUGAAAGCAGGGGAUCUUCGGACCUUGCGCGAUUGAAUGAGCCGAUGUCGGAUUAGCUAGUUGGCGGGGUAAAGGCCCACCAAGGCGACGAUCCGUAGCUGGUCUGAGAGGAUGAUCAGCCACACUGGAACUGAGACACGGUCCAGACUCCUACGGGAGGCAGCAGUGGGGAAUAUUGGGCAAUGGGCGCAAGCCUGAUCCAGCCAUACCGCGUGGGUGAAGAAGGCCUUCGGGUUGUAAAGCCCUUUUGUUGGGAAAGAAAAGCAGCAGGUUAAUACCCCGCUGUUCUGACGGUACCCAAAGAAUAAGCACCGGCUAACUU
rnacentral:rRNA from 1 species